UAUCUCUGUAGAGUCUGCAUAUCAAUAAGCGGAGGAAAAGAAACUAACUAGGAUUCCCUCAGUAACGGCGAGUGAAGCGGGAAGAGCUCAAAUUUGAAAUCUUCAAGGUUUUACCUUGACGAAUUGUAGUUUAAAGAAGUGUUUUCUGUUGGAGUUUUGGUAAAAGUUCUUUGGAAUAGGACAUCAUAGAGGGUGAGAAUCCCGUAUUUGACCAUUAUUUUCAGCUUUGUGAUACACUUUCAAAGAGUCGGAUUGUUUGGGAAUGCAGUCCAAAAUGGGUGGUAAAUUUCAUCUAAAGCUAAAUAUUGGCGAGAGACCGAUAGCGAACAAGUACCGUGAGGGAAAGAUGAAAAGAACUUUGAAAAGAGAGUUAAACAGUACGUGAAAUUGUCAAAAGGGAAGCGUUUGACACCAGUGUUGUUUUCUCGAAAAUCAAUUAAAAAAAGUUGGAUUUUGUGUUGUAUUGACCUUAACAGCUUUCUGCACUCUUUUCCUGCUUUUUUUUAAUGCACUUUUCGUUUAACAAGUCAACAUCAGUUUCUUUUGUUGUAAAAGGGUCAUUGGAAGGUGGCUUUCUUUUCGGAGAAAGUGUUUAUAGCCUUUGAUCUCUGCAAUCGGAGAGACUGAGGUCUGCAGCGUAGAUCCUUCGGGGCUAGAUACGUAGAUGCUAAGUUAUAGUUUUUUAUAGACAACUUGUUGACUAUAAUUAAUCAUGUAGCUUACUCGUUUGCGCUAUUUUACCUACGCUUAGGAUGUUGAUCUGUAGUGCGUGCGC
rnacentral:rRNA from 1 species